UUUCACUACGAAACAUGCGCCUAAAUCUCGAAUUAUCGGAAAUACCAUAAGACUUUUGCGGGAGAUAAUCUUUUCUUAUAUCGAGACAAACCACAUUUAGGGCACUCAGUUAACAUUGCAUAUUCGUUACGAAACAAAAUGCAAUCGUUAGGACAAGCAUGUAUCUUAUCAUAGCUCAUGCCAAUAGAGCACAACAUUUUUUUUUGC
rnacentral:lncRNA from 1 species